rnacentral:rRNA from 1 species
AUUGAACGCUGGCGGCAGGCUUAACACAUGCAAGUCGAGCGGGGUGAUGGUGCUUGCACUAUCACUUAGCGGCGGACGGGUGAGUAUGCUUAGGAAUCUGCCUAUUAGUGGGGGACAACAUCUCGAAAGGGAUGCUAAUACCGCAUACGUCCUACGGGAGAAAGCAGGGGAUCACUUGUGACCUUGCGCUAAUAGAUGAGCCCAAGUCGGAUUAGCUAGUUGGUGGGGUAAAGGCCUACCAAGGCGACGAUCUGUAGCGGGUCUGAGAGGAUGAUCCGCCACACUGGGACUGAGACACGGCCCAGACUCCUACGGGAGGCAGCAGUGGGGAAUAUUGGACAAUGGGGGGAACCCUGAUCCAGCCAUGCCGCGUGUGUGAAGAAGGCCUUAUGGUUGUAAAGCACUUUAAGCGAGGAGGAGGCUCUUUUGGUUAAUACCCAAGAUGAGUGGACGUUACUCGCAGAAUAAGCACCGGCUAACUCUGUGCCAGCAGCCGCGGUAA